AUGUCACUGAUGAUGUCCCCAAUGUCCCCAGGUGCCCUGUGCCACUGCACGCAGUCCCUGCGGCAGCGCCUGGACGAGCUGUGCCUGUCCCCAAUGAUGUCCCCAGUGAUGUCCCCAAUGUCCCCAAUGUCCCCAUGUUGUCCCCAGGUGCCCUGUGCCACUGCACGCAGUCCCCAGUGAUGUCCCCAAUGAUGUCCCCAAUGUCCCCAGGUGCCCUGUGCCAC